rnacentral:rRNA from 1 species
AUUGAACGCUGGCGGCAUGCCUAACACAUGCAAGUCGGACGAGUGGCGAACGGGUGAGUAAUGUAUCGGGACCUGCCGGGUAACGGGGGAUAACUAUUGGAAACGGUAGCUAAUACCGCAUACUAUCCGAGCAGCCCAUGUCGGAUUAGCUGGUUGGUGGGGUAAAGGCUCACCAAGGCGACGAUCAGUAGCUGGUCUGAGAGGAGGAUCCGCCACACUGGGACUGAGACACGGCCCAGACUCCUACGGGAGGCAGCAGUGGGGAAUAUUGGACAAUGGGCGCAAGCCUGAUGCAGCCAUGCCGCGUGUAUGAAGAAGGCCUUCGGGUUGUAAAGGACUUUGAGCAGGGAGGCGGUACCUAAAGAAUAAGCACCGGCUAACUCCGUGCCAGCAGCCGCGGUAAUAC